ensembl:lncRNA
GCCCACAGGAGCUUGCCAACUCCGGCUUCCCUCAAAGCUGUUGAUUACAGAGGAGUAAGAGGUUGCCAAACUGGCACGUCUCCUGGCAACUGGGCUCGGGGCAGUCAUUUCGACACACACAGGCCCAGGCCUGACAAGCCUUUCUUCUGGCUGUGGUUUUGAUCAUAUCGAAGACCGUCACACCAACAUGCCUUUUAUGGUCUCCGCACUACCGCAUUACCGUGUGAGGGAUUCUAGUCUACCGAACCCUGCUUGGAAAAUGACGGAGCUGGAAGAAGGGUCAUCUGGACGGAGGAAGCUGAACUGGUUAGAUGAACAAUUAUAGAAGCUGGGUGUUGGGCCAGUCCUGGGAGGCUGGUUUCUUCUGACACAGAGGGGCACACCAACAUUUUGCUGGAUAUCUGUAAAGUGGUGCUGUCUACGUGCUGAGUUUUGCAGUCGGAAUGGCACUUCCGUGGUGGAGUCACUGUGCUGAUAAGGUCUGGGCCCUGUUUCAUAUCCACUGAGGCUAUGAGAGGAACUUGGAAGAUGGCAGUCUAGUGACAUAUACAGAGGAGCGUAAAUUUGGAUAGAACAUGGAGAUUAAGCCUAGACAGCUGUGUUCAGACACGGGGAUGCCUCUCGAGGCUGCAUUCAGAAACAGAGAUGCAGAGGAAAGACCCAUGGCCAACUGCCUAGGCGGACCAUACACGACAGGAAGAAGGGAGGGCGGAACCCUGAUUAGGC